CUUCCACCUGUUUUGGGUCUCUCUACAGCAUCUACACAGUGUGUGUCCUUCAACUCGUGCUUUAAGCCAUCAACUCAUCAGAUACUGAGCGGCAUAGAUUAAACGUAUGGGCAAAUGCGGACACCACCCUGCAUCCCGUCUGAGCUUCACAAGCAGGUGGACGCCACUGCUUCAUUUCCAAACGUCCCUCUUCAGUCAAGCUACACCUUCCGACUGGUAUCACCCCCACCCCACGCCUGUCUUUGUCCUUCUGCAAUUCACUCUGACUUUGUUCAGUCAGUUAACCUGACUUCCCCUCCCUGCUGGGAAAGAGGGAGGAGGCGGGACAGAGAGGAGGAAGGGACCCGCAUGAGAAGAAAUGGAACGUUUUGACUGCACAGUACGACCACAAAUCACCGUGAGAGUUCAAAAACAGAAGUUGCCUCACUUCCUGCAGAUUCAACCAGCAGUGCAUGAGUGACAGAGAGGGUCAUCCCUACGCCGCAUGCCUUUCUCAGCGCUGCUGUGGGUAGGACCAUCUCUGCUGACGGAGGAUGGGAUGUGGCAGGGGCUCGGGGAUUAGAGGGCUUUUGGCCACGGCUGAGAGUAGCUCUUUCUGCGUCUGACAGUUAGAGGUGACGGGCCGUCACUGCACAGUGGACAGACAGGCAGCCAGAGACAACUGCAUUCAUUCAGGACAGCGGCUUAUCCGUGCAUGAAACAGACGCCCACUGCCCGUACUUUCACUCUCACACUCACACAAGAGGGCAAGGCACAGACAGACUUCGAUUAGAGGAAUGUCAUGGUUGCACAAGUGCUGAUGUACCUCAAACCACUUUUCUACAGUGUAACUUUCAGUGACCUCACCAUACUACAUACAUGAAACCUGAGCCUUUCUGAGAGGAAAACCGGACAUUUGUUAGGGACGACCCGCGGAAUCCCCAGUAAGGCAGAAAUGACCCCUGGCACUCGUGGUGGACCUUGCUUUGCAGACAUCCUAUACUAGUCGUCCCAGGCUUGUGCAUCCUUUGAACAUUAUGACAAACGAUAUGUCUUCCUUUUUGCCAUCGCAUGCAUUCAAUGUCUUUGAAUGGCAAAGUUUUCCAGCCAGCAAGAGUUUGGGCUUAUCCCUCUGGCAUCUGCCUCUCUGCCUAUACUCUCAUGACCAGGAGGUUGAAGAGCCAGGAAAGUCCCAGCCCUGCCACCUAAUCCUCCACUCCCAUUCACGAUCACCGCUAAUCUCUUUCACCGCCACCAAUACUAUCGUCUCCACCUCUCACUCAAGAGGUGCACAAAAGACCCGCGCGACCCUCUCCCGCCUAACUCAGCAUCCCAUCCCUGCUCGCACCCCCUAACCUGCUCCGCCCAUCACUUCUUUUUUAAUCCCAUGGGGCUGAGAUUUUCCUUCAACCCCACAGACGCAUUGAGUGCAGGAUAACUCUCUCCGUCGAAUUGUUGCUGAGAAGAAGACAGACACAAAUGGAGUUUGAAUUUCAAUGUGUGCAACGACUUGGAGAGACAGAGACAGACAGCGGAAUAUGGAGUAGUGAUGAUCAAGGCAUCUGCUGCAUUGUAUUCUCAAAAGAGUCAAAGUGAAGUACAAGUAAGAUGUGCAGAUUAAGAUGGGCCGAUGAAAACGAGUUUGAGAUAAACUUUGAGAUAAAAAAAAGUACAUCUUCCUGAAUGGCGCUUCGUAUAAGAGAAAUUAUCCAUGUGCAAAGAGAUCUUUCAAAAUAGGCUACCUUGAGUCUAAAAAUCAUAUUUCCAGACUAGUGGGGGCCUCAUCAGUUCACUCAAAACUGGUGAGUGGAAUGUAAAUGUAAGCUCAUAAUUCGAACACCCCUGACUUAAAACAAGGUAAACAAGCUCGAGCCUUUGCUAGAAGACAGACUGUAAUCUCAGGCUUUUCCUUGUUGCAGGCUCAAUGUCUUGGUGUCUGUUGGUAAAGAUGAAGCAAAAAAAAAAAAACAUCUGCACAUGCUGAAGUUGAAACAAGCUUUUUUAAAUGUAUAAAAUAUGUUAUCGUACAGUAAAUUCCAGGGCUUCUUUCCUACGGUAAUAAAUACUGAGUGAAUUUAUCAUUAUAUCAUUAUCUUAUACAAGAUUUAUUAAUAUAAAUAAUUUUAGAAAAGAACUUUUCCAACAACCCAUGAAACACAAAACACAAACAAAGAGCAUGUACUUGGUUAUAUUAAAUGAAACCUCCUGAUGGUGCCUUCUGUCACUCGGUUCCUUAUAGUUUCAUGCCUAUAAUAGUUCCAUAUUUUCACGAUAUGUCAUUUGGGAUAUUGGUGUGAAUGAAUUGUGCACUGGCAGGUUUUGGAGCCUCAGCCUGGACCUCUCCCUGCGUCUUUCACACAAGUCAACAAUAAAGCCUCAUGGAUCCCAUAACUCACUAGUUUUCUGUUCAUGAAUAAAGCCUUUAUAUUUAUGGUGAUGGGGCUGAAGAUCACCGGCCUCCCCGGUGACAAACUUGCCUCAGUCCGUCACCGCUCGCCUGCGCUGCUCAGGCUCCUCCAUCAAACGCUCCAGAUGGGAGCACCACUUUAUCGUUCCCUGGUCGGUGACAUCACGUCACCACGCUGCACCGAAUUGAUGAUGAAAGCAAACAUAUCUGUCCCAGCUCACAUUUGCCAAAUCAAUGUUCUUUUUACAGACCCUCUGCAGGCGUAUUGGCAU